CUAAUCCAAACCCUAAUCCAAACCCUAAUCCAACCCUAAACUCUAAUCCAAAUCCUAAAUCCUAAACCAAACCUUAAAUCAAACCCUAACCAAAUCCUAGUCCAAACUCUAAUCCAAAUCCUAAAUCAAACCCUAAUCCAAACCCUAAAUCAAAUCCUAACCAAACCCUAAAUCCUAAUCCAAAUCCUAAUCCAAAUCCUAAAUCCUAAUCCAAACCCUAAUCCAAACCCUAAUCCUA
rnacentral:lncRNA from 1 species